UUUCCGUAGGUGAACCUGCGGAAGGAUCAUUAAAGAAUCGCCCCGUUUUUUAUAAAUGGGUUCUAUUCCCAAACCGUGUAUACAUACCUUUGUUGCUUUGGCAGGCCGCCUCCGGGCGUCGGCUCCGGCUGAUAGUGCCUGCCAGAGGACCCAAACUCUGUGUUAGUGAUGUCUGAGUACUAUAUAAUAGUUAAGACUUUCAACAACGGAUCUCUUGGUUCUG
rnacentral:misc_RNA from 1 species